CGCGAGGGAGGGGCUGCCAACGGUCCGGGGCGAUCACGAGGCGCCUCACUCUGACUGAAGGGAGCCAGCGGCGGCAUCGCAGCGGACGAGCUCCUUGGCGAGGCGCAGCCUCGAAGCAGCCUCACUGGUUCCCACAGCCCCGGCCCUCGGGAGCCGCUUCCUUCCUCCCUCCCUCUCUCACUUCCCCACUUCUGUCCUUUGCUGCCGUCGCCCUCGGACGAGUUGGCGGCGGCCGAGCCCCGGCGGGAGGAGGAGAAGGAGGGGUUCUCGCCUCUAUUAAGUUUAAGCCGAACCAGAGGAGGACGUACGACCGUGAGGGCUUCCGCAGCGAGCUGGAGGACGAGGUGCUGUUAGUGAGUAGCACUAUCAAUGGAUUGUCCCUGGUGGAGGAAUGGAGCCUGAGGAAGAACCAGGCGGUGCUGCAGUAAGAGAGGUGUGUGAAGAGGCCGGUGUCAGAGGAAAAUUGGGCAGACUUCUGGGGAUCUUCGAGAAUCAAGACCGCAAACAUCGCACUUCCGUUUAUAUUCUUACAGUCACUGAAAUAUUGGAAGACGGGGAAGAUGCUGUUAACAUAGGCAGGAAGAGAGAAUGGCUCAAGGCUGAAGAUGCCAUUAAAGUUCUUCAGUGUCAUAAACCUGUACAUGCUGCGUAUUUGGAAAAACUGAGGUUGGGCUGCUCACCAACCAAUGGAAAUUCUAUGGUUCCCACCCUUCCAGACGGCAAUUCUUUGUAUGUGAUUUCUGCACAGACUUCGGGCUUGCCAUCUACUGUAAGAUAAAUAUUUAGAUGACCAUACAUGAUCUCACAGGGAGAAAGGCUUCUGGGUUUGACAUCAACAUGUUUAAACUAACUGAAUUGCCAUACAGAAUGUAUUCAGUCAGUUUUCAUAUUUUUCAGAUACUUUGAAAUAUUUCCCUUUUUUGUUAACAGUGUAAAAUAUUUCAGUAAACCAAAGCCAUGUGGAUUUUUUUUUAAGAUGCCUUCACUGUGCGCCCUGUCCCUUUCUCCCAAAACAUUAUUUUUGUUUUUCAGCCUGCUCUGCAUUCUGGUCUUUAAUAUUGGUUAGUUUCCACAGUAACCUACUCUGGUGUGGUUGUCUUUUUUUCUUUAAAGAAAGUCAAGGGGACAGAUGACUAGGCACUUUAGUAUUGACCCACUGAAAGAAAGCCUUCUAUAGUGCUUUUUAUUUUUUAGAGCUACGCAUUUCAAAAGAUUAAAAUGUUCAUGGUGCCACUUUAUUUCAGAUACAUUAUAGCCCUCAUGAUUUCUUGAAAUUUAGAGAAAAUUGAUGUGUAUUGAACAGCAUUUCAGUACUAACAUUAGAGGGUAUUGUUAUAUAUACAUGUGGUAUCUUUCCCCUCAAAGUUUAAACGUUUUCUCCUCCAGUGCCCAGUAUGGCUGCUAUUUCAGUAUGAGAUGGCACUAUUGUAUUGCAUACACCCUGGAAAUAUAUAAAACAGGCUCAUGAAAAACAGCAUCCAGAUUUCAUCCUUGUCAUUUUUUUUAUUAUUGAUCUAUGUACCCAAAUUUAUUUAUUUUUUUUCCUUUUAAACAUUAUUUUACUUGGUCAUUUUCAAACAUUAUUCAUUGGAAACAAAGAUCAUUUUCUUUUUCUCCCCCCCUUCCUGCCACCCCUCCUAUAGCCCACACAGGAUUCCUCUAGGUAUCACAUGUGUCAUUGAUCUGAACCCAUUUCCAUGUUGUUGGUAUUUGCAUUGGGGUGUUCAUUUAAAGUCUCUCCUCAGUCAUAUCCCCUCAACCCUUGUAGUCAAGCAGUUGCCUUUCCUCAUUGUUUUUACUCCCACCGUUUGUCCUCUGCUUGUGGGUGGUAUUUUUUCACCUAGAUCCCUGCAGACUGUUCAGGGACAUUGCAUUGACACUAAUGGAGAAAUCCAUUACGUUGGAAUUCGAUUGUACCACAGUGUGUCAGUCUCUGUGUACAAUGUUCUCCAGGUUCUGCUCCUCUCUGCAUCACUUCUUGGAGGUUGUUCCAGUUCCCACAGAAUUCCUCCACUUUAUUAUUCCUUUGAGCACAAUAGUAUUCCAUCACCAACAUAUACCACAAUUUUGUUCAGCCAUUCUCUAAUUGAAGGGCAUCCCCUCAUUUUCCAAUUUUUGGCCACCACAAAGAGGGCAGCUAUGAAUAUUCGUGUACAUGUCUUUUUCCUUAUUAUCUCUUUGGGGUACAAACCCAGCAGUGCUGUGUCUGGAUCAAAGGGCAGACAGUCUUUUAGGGCCCUUUGGGCAUAGUUCCAAAUUGCCCUCCAGAAUGGUUGCAUCAAUUCACAACUCCACCAACAAUGCAUUAAUGUCCCAAUGUUGCCACAUCCCCUCCAGCAUUCAUUGCUUUCCUUUGCUGUCUUGUGUGAGGUGAUACCUCAGCGUUGUUUUGAUUUGCAUCUCUCUGAUUAUAAGAGAUUUAGAACACUUUUUCAUGUGCUUAUUAAUAGUUUUUAUUUCUUUAACUGAAAACUGCCUAUUCAUGUCCCUAGCCCAUUUAUCAAUUGGAGAAUGGCUUGAUUUUUUUUGUACAAUUGAUUUAGCUCUUUGUAAAUUUGAGUAAUUAAACCAUUAUCAGAGGUUUUUGUUAUGAAGAUUGUUUCCCAAUUUUUUGCUCCCCUUCUGAUUUUAGUUGUUACAUUGGUUUUGUUUGUACAAAAACUUUUUAAUUUGAUGUAGUCAGAAUUAUUUUUUUUUUACAUUUUGUGACUCUUUCUAAGUCUUGCUUGGUUUUAAAAUCUGUCCCUUCCCAAAGGUCUGACAUGUAUGUAUACUAUUCUGUGUUCACCUAAUUUACUUAUAGUUUCCUUCUUUAUGUUCAAGUCAUUCACCCAAUCUGAGUUUAUCUUGGUGUAGGGUAUGAGGUGUUCAUCCAAACCUCAUCUCUCCCACACUGUCUUCCAAUUUUCCAAGCAGUUUUUAUCAAAUAGUGGAUUUUUGUCCCCAAAACUGGGGUCUUUGGGUUUAUCAUAGACUGUCUUGCUGAGGUCACUUACCACAAGUCUAUCCACUGAUCCUCCUUUCUGUCUCUUAGCCAGUACCAAACUGUUUUGAUGACCAUCGCUUUGUAAUAUAGUUUGAGAUCUGGGACUGCAAGGCCACCUUCCUUUGUAUUUUUUUUUCAUGACUUCCCUGGAUAUCCUUGAUCUUUUGUUCUUCCAAAUGAAUUUUGUUAUGUUUUUUUCUAAUUCAGUAAAAAAGUUUUUUGGAAGUUCAAUGGGUAUGGCACUAAAUAGAUAAGUUUGGGUAGGGUGGUCAUUUUUAUUAUAUUAUCUCAUCCUACCCAUGAGCAGUUAAUGUUUUUCCUAUUGCUCAAAGUAUAGUUUUAGUUGUGUGGAGAAUGUUUUGUAGUUGUGUUCAUAUAGUUCCUGUGUUUGUCUCGGCAGAUAGAUUCCUAAGUAUUUUAUAUUGUCUAGGAUGAUUUUAAAUGGAAUUUCUCUUUCUAAUUCUUGCUGCUGAAAUGGGUUGGAGAUAUAUAGAAAUGCUGAUGACUUAUGCAGGUUUAUUUUGUAUCCUGCAACUUUGCUAAAAUUGUUGAUUGUUUUGACUAGCUUUUUGGCCAAUUCUCUAUGAUUCUUUAAGUAGACCAUCAUAUCAUCUGCAAAGAGUGAUAGCUUGGUCUCCUCAUUGCCAAUUUUAAUACCUUCAACUUUUUCUUCUCUAAUUGCGACUACUAGUGUUUCUAGUACAAUGUCAAAUAAUAGAGGUGAUAAUGGGCAUCCUUGUUUCACUCCUGGUCUUAUUGGGAAUGCGUCUAGUUUAUGAAAUUUGCUGAUGGUUUUAGAUAGAUACUGUUUAUUAUUUUUAGGAAAGGCCCUUCUAUUCCUAUGCUUUCUAGUGUUUUCAAUAGGAAUGGGUGUUGUAUUUUAUCAAAGGCUUUUUCUGCAUCUAUUGAAAUAAUCAUGUGAUUUUUGUUGGUUUGCUUGUUAAUAUGGUCAAUUAUGUGGAUGGUUUUCCUAAUAUUGAACCAUCCUUGCAUUCCUGCUAUGAAUCCUACCUGGUCAUAUUGAAUAAACCUUGUGAUGACUUGCUGGGGUCUUUUUGCUAAUAACCUAUUUAAGAUUUUUGCAUCUAUAUUCAUUAAGGAGAUUGGUCUAUAGUUUUCUUUCUCCAUUUUUGACCUGCCUGGCUUUGGGAUCAAUACCAUAUUUGUGUCGUAAAAUGAAUUUGGUAGAACUCCUUCUUUACUUAUUCUGUCAAAUAGUUUGUAUAAUAUUUGGAUUAGUUGUUCUUUGAAUGUUUGAUAGAAUACAUUUGUGAAUCCAUCAGGACCUGGGGAUAUUUUCUUAGGGAGUUCUUUAUGGCUUGUUCAAUUUCUUUUUCUGAUAUGGGGUUGUUUAGGUAAUCUAUUUCUCCCUCUGUUAGUCUGGGCAAUUUAUAUUUUUGACCAAGAUUACCCAAGAUAGAUAGCCAUAUUUAUUACCAUAUAUUUGGGCAUAAUAGUUGUUAAUGAUUGCCUUAAUUUCCUCUUAAUUAGAGGUGAGGUUGCCCUUUUCAUCUUGGAUACUGUCAAUUUGGUUUUCUUCUUUCCUUUUUUUAAUUAAACUGACCAGUACUUUGUCUAUUUUAUUUGUUUUUUUCAAAGUACCAGAUUUAUUUAUUCAUUAAAUCAAUAGUUCCUUGACUUUAAAUUUUAUUAAUUUCUCCUUUGAUUUCUAUAGCCUUCAUCUUAGGAUUUUUAAUUUGUUCACUUUCUAGUUUUUUAAUGUGCAUGACCAAUUCAUUGCCCUCUGCCCUCCCUAAUUUGUUAAUAUAUGAACUCAAGGAUAUAAAUUUCCCCCUGAGUACUGCUUUGGCUGCAUCCCAUAGGUUUUGAAAGGAUGUCUCAUAGUUGUUUCCAUGAUUUUUCUUUAAGUGCUUUUGGAGAAUUGUAUUGUUUAAUUUCCAAUUAGUUUUUGAUUUACCUCUCCAUGUGCCCUUAUUAAUUAUUACUAUUUUCAUUGCAUUGUGAUCUGAGAAGGUUGCACUUAUUAUUUCUGCUCUUUUGCACUUGUUUGCAAUGUUUUUAUGUCCAAAUACAAUGGUCAAUUUUUGUGAAUGUACCAUGUGCUGCUGAAAAAGUGUAUUCCUUUUUGUCCGUUUAUUUUUCUCCACAUAUCUACUAACUCUAAUUUUUCUAACAUUUCAUUUACUUCUCUUACCUCUUAUUUUUUUUUUAAUUUAUCUAGUUUGGAUAGAGGAAGGUUCAGGUCUCCCACUAGUAUAGUUUUUCUAUCUAUUUCAUCCUUGAGCUCCCCUAGUUUCAAACAACCAAAAGAAACUGUAUUUUAUGGAUGCAAUUUUUGUACAUAAAACUACUCCCACUUAACAGUCUAUGACACUGAGGAUUUUUACAAAAGCUUGUACAUGGUAUUCUUAGAGGUAAUAAUGCAUAAUCUUAUUUUGUAACUCAAACUAUAUAUUUGAUAAAAAUGUAAAAAAUGUACAGUAUUGAUGUUAAUCAACUCAUAAGAGUUGUUAACCUAUAAAUAUUUUCUUGUAUAAUUUUUUGGUCAGAACAUUUGGGCUUUGUAGUGCCACAUCAGGAUUCCUUAAUGUCAUUCAUUGUACAGAUCUCUUUAGUCUCUAUGGAACUUACAAAGUUCCCUGAAUUCGUUUUGAUUCCUACAGCUCUCUAUGUAAUUUAACAGAACAUUUUAUAGUUGUCAUAUUUCAAAAGUACCUAUCAUAAUAGGGUUGGCUAUUUUUUAAUGUUUCAGACCAGGCUAGCAGAAUUGCAUCUUUAAAACUCUUUAAGAUAGCUGGAGACACCUUCUACCCAAAUAGAAAUAAGUUUCAGUGGAGUGGCCAAAAUGUUCUCUCAUUCUGGUUUUUAAACAUAGUUGGCCAGAGGGGCCAGGAGGCCUACUUAUGAUUGAUUAGAAGAGAACUAAAUAUAGAAGAAUACCAUUCAUAAUUCUGCUUUGUUGUCAUAAGCAAAAAGCUCUUCUCUGCCUUUUUAGUAAACCACAGUUGGGUAAGUGGCAUGGUCUGGAACAUUUAAGAAUGUGGAGCCAUCUGUAUGGACCAGGUUUUGGGGUUGCCACAUGGUUAGGCAACCAUGUGGAAUUUUUCAAGAAAAGUGUUCUAUUGACCACAACCUCAUAUAAAGAAGCAAACUAAGGAAGCAAAAGGCUGUAAACAUUUUUAAUUGCUUUGCAUGGUUUUCUUUUGAAGAUUGGUAUAAGAAUUUUGACUUUUUAUAUUUGAGAAGAAACAUCAGAAUAAAAAUUAAAUUAAAAAUAAUUAUACCAAGUCCUAUGAUUUCCUUUAAGAUUGAAGAGCAAAAGAACAAGCCUCAACACAAAGAAAUGGAAACACCAGUGGAAGAAAUUGGAGAAAAAUUACCUGAAGAUAAAAUGACUGUCAAUGUUAAUGAAUUGCCAUUUAAAGUAAAGGAUCCUCAUGGCAAUAAAAGUUAGGACAAUAAAAUCACUGUGGAAGAAACUCCAAAAAUGACCGCUUCUUCUUCCAAGGAAACUUCAAUACCCGUGCACCAUCGUUUCAUGUGGAUGAUGAGCAAAAGAACAAGCCUCAACACAAUGAAAUGGAAACACCAGUGGAAGAAAUUGGAGAAAAAUUACCUGAAGAUAAAAUGACAGCAAUAACCUGCCAUUUAAUGUAAAGGAUCAUCAUGGCAAUAAAAGUGAGGAGAAUAAAAUCCCUUCGGAAGAAUCUCCAAAAAUGACCGUUUCUUCUUCCAAGGAAACCUCAAUACCCAUGCACCAUUGUUUCAUAGUUCCAUUGGAUAUUAGCCUACAAUACUUUACUCCAUGUAGAUCUCUACUUGGGAUAUUAAUUGAUCCUUUACAUAUUCCAUGAUUUUUUUCAAAAUCUCUUAAAAAUUUGUUCCUACCAAGUAAAAAUCUACCCAGACAGAGUUUUCAUGAGAGCCAAUCCUGAAAUGUAUGGGGCUUCCCCCCACCCUUUGUCUUCAAGACUGCAUCAUUUCCUUUCCUAGAAUUACUGAACAAAUCCUCAUUUUUAGGAAGAGGCUUCACUCUUGCUCACUAACACUUGAGAGAGAAAAAAGCAAAAGUAGUGCGCCUUAGAAGACUUGAGAGGAGAUGAAAAAUGCCAGGAGAAGUCCUUUCAUCCAGGCUUAAUCCCUUCAAGGCCAGGCUUUCCUUACUUCUCAAGCUGACCACACUCAAGAGGAAGGGGCCAAGAGAACUGGUCACCUUCAAACCCAAUCAGCAGGGUUCUGAGGGAACAGGGACUGGCAAUGACUAACCAUGAAACAAAGAUAGCAAUAAAGGAAACCAGCCAUGAAAUGGUAUGAAAGCAUCUCUUCCAUAUCCUGGAUUGCCAUCUCCUGACAACAGGAGCUGGAUGGAAUCCCAGAGACUAUCUAAUCUCAUUCCUUCCUGUCACCUCAGAGGAAACUAAGGCUCAGAGAAGCAAAGGGAUUUGCUUACAAUCACCCAGAAUGUAACUGAGAGGCGGUAUUGAAGCCCAGGUCUGCUCCCUCCAAAUUUCUAUGUGUAGCAUACAUCCUUGAGAUGACUUUAGCGAGUUCACUAGCUAGUCACCCAAUGUCUUAAGCUGAAUUGAAGUAUACAGACAAUCCUUGUAUACUCUAACAGUAUCUUUAAUACGAUUUUGCGGCUUGGCUUUACACCACUUUUGAUUGCUGUCAAAAAGCAUCAUGAAGCAAUGGUUGAUUUGUGUGGAAGAGGCCAUGGAGGAAGAGAGAAUUCUAAGCAUGCAAGAAACAAAUCUGGGGACUUUAUCUGUCAAUCAAGGUGUUCAUUCCAAAAUAGAAUGUUCCCAGGAAAGGCAGUUGGAGCCUGGCAAGAAAGGAGAUGACCUGAGAUUUCUUCUCUGGGGGUUCCUGACCAAGGGAGACUGGCUUUGUCUAUCUUAGGUUGAAGGACCUUGGGGUGGGGGUGGGGGCUUCUGGAAUUAAUCCAAGAAGAAAUUUACUUGUGAUGGUGGCUUUGUGUAAUUGGAAGAAAGAAGACUUAACAAUUGUCCUCCAUCCAUCUCUCUAACUGUCCCUGAGUCACAGUUGUGACAGGACUGACAUUUCCCCAAAUCCUCCCAAUCCUGCUUGUAGACUAAGGACACCCCUAUCCCUCUCACUUCAGUUCUCCAUCCUGUUGUUCCCAAUAAAACGCCUUACUUGAGAAAA